GAAAUGCGAUAAGUAGUGUGAAUUGCAGAAUUCAGUGAAUCAUCGAAUCUUUGAACGCACAUUGCGCCCCUUGGUAUUCCAUGGGGCAUGCCUGUUCGAGCGUCAUUUGUACCCUCAAGCUCUGCUUGGUGUUGGGUGUUUGUCCCGUUUCCGCGCGUGGACUCGCCCCAAAGUGAUUGGCAGCCGGCGUACUGGUCCCGGAGCGCAGCACAUGUCGCGCAAACGAGUGCCUUGGUACGGCGGCGUCCAUAAGCCCCUCUCUCACGCUCUUGACCUCGGAUCAGGUAGGGAUACCCGCUGAACUUAAGC
rnacentral:misc_RNA from 1 species